GCCCCGUGCGGCCACUCCCUGUGCAGGACUUGCUUCGCCGCCGCCGACACGCCCCCCGCCUGCUGCAGGAGAGCAAGGGCUAUUAAAGGGACGUUCAAGGUCGUGACCUUGUCCCAGAGUCUCCCUGGCUACUUUCGAGACCCGACGCUCAAGAUCACCUAUGACAUCCCUGACGGGGUGCAGGAGGCUGGAGACCCCCGACCCGGGAGACCGUAUAGGGGUGGCCGCUUCCAGGCCUUCCUGCCCGACAACAGGGAGGGGAAGAAGAUCUCUCAGCUGCUGCAGAAAGCGUUUGAGCAGGGCCUGACCUUCCAGCUCCAGUCCUGUGACGGGGAGGAGAGGGUGGCAUGGCACCUCAUCCCCCACAAAACCUCUUUCGACAAGGGCAAGGCCAGGAAGGGCUAUCCGGACGCCCAGUACCUCCACCAGGUCAGCGCCGUGCUGAGAAACUUGGGCAUCGAGUGAAAUUCAGGGCUGAGCCGCCCAAAGCCACCCCCUCGCUGCCGUCCUCCAAGCCCGCCCCAGCCCCACAAAGCCACGUUCAGGGCUGAGCUGCUCGGGACUCGCCUCCACCCGGGCCCUUUGCUCGCCAGGAAUUCCUGUGCCAAGUGUGAACACACGGAGCCUCGAGCUGUCCGGUGGCAGCGUCUCACCACCCCCCACCCUCACCCUUGCUGAGCAGAAGUCAAACCUGCUGUCAGGGUGGCCGACUGACUUCACUGAGUCCCUGAGCAAGGUGGGUGCGUGGGGAAGGGGGCUCUGAAAAGGGCUGGGUUUUGGGCAGAAGAGGCAAGGCUGGGGCAACUUUUCACCCUUCAGCAUUGUCCAGGGCGCUGAUGGCUGCUACUGCUGCUGCAGCGGCAGCUGGGAGCCAUGGUAGCUGCCCCUUUUCUUUCUGUCAACUACCUACUACCAGCUCCAGCUCCCACUUGGUCUUGCUUGUUAACCACCCACCAGCAACUUCUAGCACAGCUUGUUUCUGCGUCAGUGAACUGCGAGCCUAACUGGUGUUAAACUCCUACUGCUCUCCGACGGAGGCCUGUGCCUGGUGGCAGAAAGGGUCCAGGCUGGGACAACCCCGUUGUGCUCUUGGGGGCGGCCGCUCCUGGGAGUUUCUGGAAUAGCACUUUCCUCUUCGGCGAACGGAGCCAAAACAGACAAGAGGGUCCCACGUACUAGCAGCCGGGGCAGUGCCGAAUCACACUUCAUUUCGGUUACCUUGGGCUUUUCAUUCCUUGGAGAGACAAGCUGGAGCUCCCGGCCCCAGCACAGAUCCAGGGAGAGCCAGGGGCCCAAGUUGGCAGGGCUGGAGGGAGCACGGCGUUGCACUGUUACUUUGCAUUCCAUGUCGUCGUCGGACAGAGGAGUCCAAAUAAAUGUGUCCUCCCUCCCCGCUCGUUCAGUAGCUUGUCCCUGGCUCCGGCUGGGAGCCUGCAAGCCCCCCCCGCUCCCGGCUUUGAUGUGGCGUGUUCUGAGAACGUGCCGAUGCAUUUAGGGCUCCAAAGAAACACUUGGUGCUGAUCGCAGAGGGGGGCAGGACGGACCUGAGCCCUCCCAAAGCAGCCAUGACACUGCUGGUUACAUUUCCCAGCUGGGGUCCAGGCGGCUGCUCAAAAGCUCUGUGCUAAAUCUGCUUCCUGUUGUUCGAGGGAGAGGCGGC